UGCAAGUCGAACGAAAUGCCCCAGCAUUGGUGGGGUAUUAGGCGAAGGGGUGAGUAACACGUAGUACGUGCCCCUGACUUGGGGAUACCCCGGAAAUGGGUCUUACUGGAUAUGACCGUGGCUCGAGGUUUUUUGGAAAGAUUUUUCGGUCUCGGAUGGAAUCCGGCCUAUAAGCCUUGUUGGUGAGGUAAUGGGUCACCAAGCGGCGACCGGUUGCCGGCCUGAGAGGGUGACCGGCCACGCUGGGACUGAGACAGGGCCAGAUUCCUACGGAGGCACCAGUGGGGAAUAUUGCACAGUGGGCGAAAGCCUGAUGCAAAGACGCCUGUGAGGGAUGACGGCCUUGGGAUGUAAACCUCUUUCAGUAGGGAAGAAGCGAAAGUGACGGUACCUGCAGAAGAAGCGCCGGCUAACUACGUGCCAGCAGCCGCGGUAAUAAGUAGGGCGCAAGCGUUAUCCGGAAUUAUUGGGCGUAAAUAGCUCGUAUGCGGUUUGUCGCGUCUGCCGAGAAAGUCCGAGGCUCAACCUCGGAUCUGCAGUGGGUACCGGCAGACUAGAGUGAUGUAGGGGAGACUGGAAUUCCUGGUGUAGCGGUGAAAUGCGCAGAUAUCAGGAGGAACACCGAUGGCGAAUGCAGGUCUCUGGGCAUUAACUGACGCUGAGGAGCGAAAGCAUGGGGAGCGAACAGGAUUAGAUACCCUGGUAGUCCAUGCCGUAAACGUUGGGCACUAGGUGUGGGGGACAUUUCACGUUUCAGCGCGGUAGCUAACGCAGUAAAUGCCCCGCGCGGGGAGUACGGCCGCAGGCUAAAAAUCAAAGGAAUUGACGGGGGCCCGCACAAGCGGCGGAGCAUGCGGAUUAAUUCCAUGCAACGCGAAGAACCUUACCAUGCUUGACAUGUGCCAGACCGCCGUGAAAACACGGUUUCCCCUUGGGGCUGGUUUACAGGUGGUGCAUGCUUGUUGUCAGCUCGUGUCUUGAGAGUUGGGUUAAGUCCCGCAACUAGCGCAACCCUCCUUUUAUUUUCCCAGCGGGUCAUGCCGGGGAUCCUGGAGACUGCCGGGGUCAAAUCGAGGAAGUGGGAAGACGUCAAAUCAUCGGCCCCCUAUGUCUCGGGGUUCACGCAUGCCCACUGGCCGGUACAAUGGGGUGCGAUACCCCGGGGGGAGAUAAUCCCAAAAAGCCUGUUUCAAUUUGUAUUGGGGUGUGCAAAUCUACCCCAUGAAGUGCGAGUCGCUCGUAAUCUCAGAUCAGCACCGCUCCGGUGAAUACCUUCCCCGGCCUUGUACACCCCGCCCGUCAACUCCCGAAAGUUGGUAACCCCCGAAGCCGGUGGCCUAACCCCUUACUGGGA
rnacentral:rRNA from 1 species